rnacentral:lncRNA from 1 species
CUAAUUAAAUUUAUUUAUUAAUUCAGAAUAAUUUGCGAGAAUCAUCGCCAUUUGGAAACUACAGUCGUGUAGCGAGUACUAAAGAUGUUUUUUUUUGCUAUUAAUAUUGCACAUUGCCAGAAUGGUCUGCAUCUUGGGGCUUUAAAAACUUAUAAGAAGAUUAUUGAGGGUUAUGCAAACAUCGCAAGAAAAACUGUUGAAAUUUUUAUCAGUUUCUGCCCAACGCAAUUUAAAUAAAAGACAGUUAAAAAAGCAUCAUUACAACCAAUAAUUUCUACUGGUUUUUUGCAACGUCAUCAAAUUGAUUUGAUUGCAAUGGAAUCUAAGCCAGAUAAGGAAUUCAGAUAUAUUGGUCAUGUUGUUGAUCAUUUCAGUAAGUUUCAUAUUUUGUUUCCUGGGAGAUUCCAUGUGAAAACAUCCAAUUUUUUUUGAAAAUGCAACCAUAAGUCUCAGAUUUUGCU